rnacentral:rRNA from 1 species
UACAGAGGUCUCAAGCGUUGUUCGGAUUCAUUGGGCGUAAAGGGUGCGUAGGCGGCGCGGUAAGUCGGGUGUGAAAUCUCGGAGCUUAACUCCGAAACUGCAUUCGAUACUGCCGUGCUUGAGGACUGGAGAGGAGACUGGAAUUUACGGUGUAGCGGUGAAAUGCGUAGAUAUGCGGAGGAACACCGAUGGCGAAGGCAAUCCCCUGGACCUGUGACUCGACGCUCAUGCACGAAAGCGUGGGGACAA